AUGGAUUUUUGACAGCUCUACUUUGUCAAAAUGUACUCGGAAACUAAGUAUACACAGCACACAGUAUACAUAAUGACGCGUACUGGCGAAAGUAUUCCAUUAGAGACACGGCAAUUGUCUCUGCUGUCUUACCUACGGUGUACCGUCUUCGCACGGUGUCGAAAUCGAGCGCGCCUUCCGUGGGCGGAAGUGGAAGUCUGUUUCCGUAAACACACAGAAGGAAAAUUUGGGAAUAGUUUUGCAAUAUGAGCCGAAUCUAUCACAACACUUGUUUGCGAAACAAAGCUGUACACAAUGAGACAUUUGACAAGGCCUGGUCGCCAUCGUCGUUUGAACGUGGCCAAGGAGUGCUUGUUGAAGGAACACUGGUUGAUCUUUCCAGACACGUGCUGACUGAUGUCAACAAUAAGAAGGUUCGCUACAACGUGCUGUACAUCAAACCUAAACGCAUCCAUCACAGGAAGUUUGACGCCAGGGGCAAGGAGGUGGAGCCUAACUUUAGUGACACCAGAAAGGUCAACACAGGCUUCCUCUUGUCUUCGUACAAGGUGGAAGCUAGGGGGGAGUCGGACGUUCUGUCUGAGCAGCAGCUGUCAGCAAUCAUACGGAAAGACGAGCUGGUGAAGAUAACCGACAAGCACAGACCCAGCGGGACGUGGGCCUUCUGGUACCCUGAGUCUGAAAUGGACAAAACGGAGCUGGAUGCUGAAGCAGACAUUCGACUGAAGACCAGAGGAAACAGUCCAUUCAUAUCCUCCUUAGCUCGAGUGGACAGUGGCACAGUGACCAAGUGUAACUUUGCUGGAGACCAGGAGGUUGGGGCAUCGUGGACAGACAAGAUUAUGGCCAACAAAGCUGGAGCGGCCAGCGCACACCAGCCUGGAGGCGAGAGGGAAGGAGCUGAGGAGGAUGAAUGGGAUGACUGAAGAAAAGGCAUUUCCCCAUCUUUGGAACUGAUGUGCUUGAACUGUACUUCUUAGGUGCCACAAAAGCUCUUGCAUACAUUUGUAGCCCAUGGCACAUUCUAAAAAUAUUUAACAAAAAAAAAACCCAAAAACAGUGAAAAUGAAAAAAUCUAGCCAAAAUCAAAAAUGAAAAGCUAUAACGAGAGAAAAGUUGUCAUCUAACAAUAAAAAAUAUCAUUUUAGUAGCAUAGAAAAAAUACUGUACAAAAAAAAAAGUCAUACUAAGUUCAUGUCUACUAUAUUGGGUAAAAAGAGUGUAAAGGUGACUAAAGGGGUGUGAUUUCAUUUCUAGAGGGCUGAUAAUGUUAAAAACUGUAUUUAAAAGGUCGUAAACAGGUUUUCGAUGCCUUAUAUGUCUUAUUUUCUCUUAUUAUGUCUAUUAUAUUGGGUAAUAGGAGUGUAAAGGUGACUAUAGGGUUGUUAUUACAUGUUUAGAGGGCUCUAAUAAUGUUAAAAACUGUAUAUAAAAGGUCAUAAACAGGUUUCCUAUGACUUAUAUGUCUUAUUUUCUCUUAUUGUGUCUACCAUAUCGGGUAAUAGGACUUGACAGGUGACUAUAGGGGUGUUAUGUCAUUUCUAGAGGGCUCUAGAAAAGUGUUGAAAGCUGUUGAAAAGCGUAUUUACAAGGUGGUAAACAGGUUUUCUAUGUUUUAUUUUCUCUUAUUAUGUCUACUAUCUUGGGUAAUAGGAGUGUAAAGGUGACUAUAGGGGUGUUAUGUCAUGUCUAGAGGGCUCUAAUCAUGUUGAGAAGCAUAUUUACAAGGUGGUAAACAGGUUUCGUAUGAAAUUCACUUACCACGGUAGGGUGUGGAUCCAAAGAAGGGCCAUAAACGAGGGAUGGUUGUACUGUAUAUGAUAUUGGGCACCACAGGUUAAUAGAAGUACUGCUAGAUGGAAAUGAUUGAAUUGAAGUGAAUGGGCAAAGCCAUUUAUUUAUUGUAUUGGAUCCUUUAGCAUAGAAAUACAUUCACAUUGACUGUACAAGUCAGUGGUUGUGUGACAAUAGUACAUCAUCAAAUGAUAAUACUAAUAAUAAUAAUCAGAAGUAGCUGGCACGUUCCAUGCAAUAUGACACACCAAUUGUAUCAUUUUAUUUCCAAGACUGAACGUUGUGGACUCUAUCAGCCACACACACACACACGCACACACACACACACACACACACACAUAAUAAUUUAACAACACAUACUGUAUAAAACAUGACGAAUGACUAACAUUGUGUUCUUUGGCUCUUCCAAACGUUCAUGGCAGCAUCAGUGUCUUUUUUUAAUCCUGCAGUGCUUGUAGUAGAAAUACAGUAAAUACAUCAUGAAUAGAAUGGGAUUAUUACACAAUAUUCAGCUCAGAAAUCAUUGAGGCUUUUAGAAAAAGUCACGUCAUGCUGCUGUGUGAUUGUGGAAACAACUAUCAGGCCCAACGCCUUUCAAACCAGUCCAGUACCGUCUCCUUGUUGUCCGCCACCCACUGGAUGUUGACUUUGGUUCGCUCUAUGGCCCGCUCCACCGCCCCAGCACAAGGACCCACAUCAUACUUGGAGGCAAAGUUCUCCAACUGUACACACAGCACACCUUUAUCAUUAUUUACCACUACUUUUUCAUCUUAAACCCCCAUUUACACGCUGCAUUUUUAACAGCACAAUGUCUUUUUCAUUCCUUUCUCACGUGCACUAAUCGUACACUAUUCUUUGAUUCCAGACUUGACUGUGAUAAGCCAAAGUACCAUUCCUUAUUUAUAAAUGGAAUAUUUUCAUACUUGGAGCAUAGAAAACCUGUUUAACACCUUCUAAAUAUGCUUUAUAACAUGAUUAGAGCCCUCUAGACAUGAAAUAACACCCCUAUAGCCACCUUUACACUCCUCUCACCCAAUAUAGUAUAAAUAAUAAGAGAAAAUAAGACAUAUAAGAAAUUACCUCCUCAAGUUCAAAUGGUGUGGAGAACCUCCUUGUCACUCCGUCAAUCAGCUUGGCUCCAUCUCUGCUGACAAAAUAUUGGAAAACAUUUGGAAUGUUGAAAAGAUAUAUAUAUGAUAGUAAUUAUGAAAUAAUGUAAUGAUAUAUAUGAUAUAUUUCCAUUCUAGAUGAGAAGACCUGUGAGUACGACAUAUUUGUACGACAUAUUUUGAGCACAUUUACAGCUUCUUUCAAACACACACAUUAUAUCAGCGGUGUCCAAAGUGUGGGCCAGGGGCCAUUUGGAGCCCGUGGCACAACAACAAAAAAAAACAGCCAAAAUUGAAAAAUCAGCAGUCAUUUUACAAGAAUAAAGUCAAAAUAAUAACAGGAAAAAAAGUUGUAAUGUAAUGAGAAAAUUUUAGAAGAAUAACAUACGGUAAUAUUAUGAGGAACAAUAACGUCAUUUUAGUAUCAUAAUGUUGACAUAUUCCAGAAAAAUACAAAUAAAUUUUUUGUUGUAUUUUCUGGAAAAUUAGGUUGCGGAAAAAGUUACAAUGUUACGACAAAGUCUAAAUAUUAUGGCAAUUACCAGAAAAAAGUUUAAAUAGUGGGGAAAAAAGAGCAAAAAUAGAAAAAAAAAACAGCUGUAGUUUUAUCAGAAUACAACAACAUACUGUAUAUUAAGAGAAAAAAAUCUUUAAUCUUUCAAGGGGGAAAAAAAAAUCGAAAUGUUUUGAGAGUAAAUGUGUAAUAUGAUGGAAAAUAAUGCCUUUUGAGUACAAUACAGUAAUGUUGAAAUAGUAAAGAAAACAUGUUAUGCUUGUAAAAGUUGUAAUAUUAUGGGAAUAAAGUCAUAAUAUUAAGAAAGGAAAAUUAAGAUGAAGGUGGAAAUAUUCAAAAAAUGUAAAAAAAAAACAACCAAUAACAACAAAAAACAGCGUUAAUUUCACCAGAAAUAUGUCAAAAUAUUAAGAGAAAAAAAAUUAAAUUCAAUUUUAUGAGAAUGAAUUUGUAAUAUGAGGAAAAAUAAUGCCAUUUUAGUAGCAUAAUGUUGAAAUAUUAAAGAAAAUGUUAUUUUUUUGUUGUAAUUUCUGGGAAAUUUGCUUAUGGAAAAGUUAUAAUGUUCUGAGAAUAAAGUCAAAAUAUUAUGGCAAUAAAGUCAUAAUUAUGAGAAGAAAAUGUAAAAGAAAAAAGUUGAAAUAGCUGGAAAAAAAAAACACAUCAGCAGUUAUGAAAAAAAACUGAUGUCAUUUGACCUGAAUAAAGUCAAAAUGUUAAGAGAAAAAAGUUCAGUUUUAACGAGAGAGAAAAAAAUCACAGUUUUGUCAUUUUAAUAGCAAUAUUAAAGAAAAAAUAUGUUAUCUUUUGGAGAGUUUUUUUCAAAUCUUUUUAAAACAAACAAAACAAAGUUGUCAUUUUUGUAAAAUGAGGUUCUGAAAAGGAAAAGAGUGAAGUUGAUAGGAAUAAUAUGCUUUUUCACCUAUAUGACAAAGCUGAGAUGAAAUAUAUAGCAUAUCUACACAAAACAUGAAAGUGGCCAAGUUGCAUCCUUUCAUUUGUCACUACGUGGCCCUUGCUGGCUGGAGGAAAAAUGAUUGGCUUAAAAAAAUAAAACCUACUUCCUGGUAAUGCAAACAAGCCUUUAUGAGGAGAAACUCUGAUAAGCACUGAUUAAAUGUGAUGACCUUUGUCCUGAAUGACGCACUACAAGUUGAAUAAGCUAUUGGGAACAACGAGAGAAGGAAAACGACGGACGUUUACUAACCCCUGACUGAUGUAGUCCCAGUGGGCUCUUAGAAAGUUCCAGGCCAGCCCGUGUCCCACCACAUUCCUGGCAAUGAAGUUAAUAGUAGAAGUGACAUCCAUCAGUCGUACCUUCUCAGGGUCCAAAGUGUACUGCAGGUAUCUGCAAGAUAAGGAUUGACCUCAUCGGAGGCGUGUUCCUGAUAGCGCAAAGCUGAUAUGAUGAUACAUCAUGUGUCCCGGGUGUGCUGCUUUGUUUGCAUCACCUGCUGAGAAGCCAUAUUUUCCUGGUGCACGACAGUGCCUGACGAAGCUGCUCUUUCUCUGAGCUUUCCCUGGUGCUCUGGAACUUGUUCCAAGCAAACUCCCACUCUUUCUCCCCCCCGGCAGCCACAGCCUGGCAGUAGAUGACCGAUCUCAGGUUGGGGUGGAUCCUGUGUCACGCAGGCGAGCAGAUACCUUCUUAUUGGCCACUUCAACUCGACAUAAGCACCCGUCCACAUAAACUAGACAUACUGUGCGCUUCUGUGACAUCAGCACACAUCUGCCUUUGCAAAGACACACCAGCGAUAGUGAUGACCCUAACAAUACCCUUUUUUAUGUGGAUAAUCCAUGUCAUUUUAGGGUUAGAGCUUAGUG